rnacentral:rRNA from 1 species
GAUGAACGCUGGCGGCGUGCCUAAUACAUGCAAGUCGAGCGAACAGACGAGGAGCUUGCUCCUCUGACGUUAGCGGCGGACGGGUGAGUAACACGUGGAUAACCUACCUAUAAGACUGGGAUAACUUCGGGAAACCGGAGCUAAUACCGGAUAAUAUAUUGAACCGCAUGGUUCAAUAGUGAAAGACGGUUUUGCUGUCACUUAUAGAUGGAUCCGCGCCGCAUUAGCUAGUUGGUAAGUUAACGGCUUAUCAAGGCAACGAUGCGUAGCCGACCUGAGAGGGUGAUCGGCCACACUGGAACUGAGACACGGUCCAGACUCCUACGGGAGGCAGCAGUAGGGAAUCUUCCGCAAUGGGCGAAAGCUUGACGGAGCAACGCCGCGUGAGUGAUGAAGGUCUUCGGAUCGUAAAACUCUGUUAUUAGGGAAGAACAAAUGUGUAAGUAACUAUGCACGUCUUGACGGUACCUAAUCAGAAAGCCACGGCUAACUACGUG